rnacentral:rRNA from 1 species
GCUGUGAUUGCAGAUUCCGUGAAUCAUCGAGUCUUUGAACGCACAUUGCGCCCCCUGGUAUUCCGGGGGGCAUGCCUGUCCGAGCGUCAUUGCUGCCCAUCAAGCACGGCUUGUGUGUUGGGUCGUCGUCCCCUCUCCGGGGGGGACGGGCCCCAAAGGCAGCGGCGGCACCGCGUCCGAUCCUCGAGCGUAUGGGGCUUUGUCACCCGCUCUGUAGGCCCGGCCGGCGCUUGCCGAACGCAAAUCAAUCUUUUCCAGGUUGACCUCGGAUCAGGUAGGGAUACCCGCUGAACUUAAGCAUAUCAAUAAGCGGAGG